GCCUUUUCUAGGGUUGCUCCCAUGGCAUAUGGAGGUUCCCAGCCUAGGGGUCUAAUCUGAGCUGUAGCCACUGGCCUACACCAGAGCCAUGGCAACGCAGGAUCAGAGCUGCGUCUGCAACCUACACCACAGCUCACAGCAACACCAGAUCCUUAACUCACUGAGCAAGGGCAGGGAUCGAACCUGCAACCUCACGGUUCCUAGUCGGAUUCAUUAACCACCGCACCAUGACGGGAACUCCUGAAGAUGGGAUUUUUCAUCCAACAAGACCAUCAGGUAAACCAGCUACUUCAUCCGCAGGCAACCAAAUAAACAGCCACCUCUUCCUACUUGGAAAGGAAAACUGGCUGAACUAGGUUUUCAGUAGACAGUCCUAUACAGUAGAGAAAUUUAGGGGUAAUUUAAGGGGUUUUCAUGAGUAUUUCUGACUCUAUGGGAGAAAGUCUUACAUGGAGAUUUUCAAAUCCAUGUAAAGGGACCCCCUUGUUGUUUGUUAACUGCAGUGUCUGGGUGGCCAUCAGCCCCUUCGGACGACCAAAGCGGGCAGACACCUCACCCCAAAGCCCCCAGUUUAUAGGCCCCCUAAUGAUCUAUGACAUGGUACAAAUAGGCAACAUGAGCCAAUCGGAUUCUCCUUCUCUGAAACCUGAAGCUGGAAGAGCCAAAGGAGGCUGUUAGCCAUGGAGGCUGAGGUUUGAAAGUCACUGUCACUUCCGCCCUUCCUUACUAGUCACACAGGUCAGCCCUAUUCACUGUGGGAGGGGACAAUUCAUGGACACAACUCAGUAACUCAACCUUUCCAGUACCUCUGGUGGGCCGGGCACUGUUCUGGGUUCUGAGGAUGGAGAGAUGAACAAGGUCCCUGCUCUCAGAGCACUCACCCAGGGGCAGCUCUAGGCAAGCAAGGAAUAGAUCCGUGAGCGAGGCGGUCAGAGGAUAACAGAAAGCCCUGAGUUUUGGAGUGAAGCCAUGAAUCCUCUUUUCAAGGAAUUCUUCUCUUUUUGAGACACAGCUCUCAGCUUUCUCCUGGGUUCUGCUGUGGUUUGUAAGAUCAAUUAUGGGAGAAGGGUUGAUGAUGAGGUCCAGUAACUAAGGGGGGUAGAUAGUGGAGGAUAUAUGUCAUCAGCUCACUUUGGCUUCCCCACACCAACGAACACGCUUCCUACACUUUGAGAAUUCCUCCACCCAAUGGACUCACACCUCCCCAAGGUGGAAGCCAGAUCCCUUCCCAGCCUCACCUGCAGAUGGGGCAGACAUGCCACUUAAGACACCUCCAGCCAGAUGCACCUGCAUGAGGUUAAGGGUCCCUGAGGAGCCAGUGCUAAGGCAUCUUCUCUGGAGAGGAGGAGAGCAGAUCCAUCUGGAUCUCAGAGGAGGAAGCGGUAGCCACCCCAUUGGGGGUGUCCAUCUUCAAGUGCCCCCCUGCACCAGGGAAAGUGGUGUUAGUGCAGUGGGGGUUAUCCCCACAGAUGGCCUCGCUGCCUAGUUCUCUGCCUUUCUGGAGAUGUUACGAGGUCCCCAGUAACCUUUAUCAAAUUCCUUUGGUUUUAACCAUCUAGAGAGGAGACUGCUGCUUGUAAACAAGGACGCUUGCUGGGACAUGAAGGGAGAAGGGCAAUAAUCCAGUAAACAAGAUAAUUUCAGAUAGAGGUCAGUGCUAGGAAAAAAUUAACGCAAAGUGAUGUGAAUGAGCAUCUCCUAAGGAACCGGAGCUGACCUUGAAACUGUGCGUGUGUGUAAAUGCAUCAUACUGGCAGACCAUAAAAUGCAAAUUCCGUAUCAUCAUUCAUGUAGUAUCUACAGAUUUGUAACAGCGAACAAAAACCAAACCAAACCAAACCCAAAAGACCACAAGGUGAUGUGAGAAAGAGAGUGACAGGCUAGGGCAGGAGCUAUUUUUGACGAGGUGGUCGGGGAAGCCUGGCUGAGGAGGUAACAUCCGAGCUGAGACCUGAAAGAUGAGAAGGGACCAGCCAUGCAAAGAUCUGGGUAAGGAGACUUCUAGGCAGAGGGCACAGCAAAUAUAAAGGAUGAACUUGGGAAGCUGAGGGACAGAGGGAAGGUUAUCGUGUUUAGUGGGUAAAGAAGGACGGAAUGAGACUGGACAGUUCAUGCCAGCCUUUUCAGGCUGAAGGCCAGGCAUUUGUAUUUUAUUCUAAGAGGGUACCACAGUACCCUAUCACUCCCUACUUAAAACCUGCUUAAAAAGAAGGACAGGAUGAGACUGGACAGUAGAUAGGGGCCAGUUCAUGCCAGGCUUUUCAGGCCAAAGGCCGGGCAUUUGUAUUUUAUUCUGAGGGAGUAAUAGGGUACUGUGAUACCCAGCCUCCUUCCUGGGAGAAUCCUCCCUCCAACAAGCCUCACCCCCUGCUGUUUACAUGGUUGUAUAGUCUCUCUCAUACAGAAUACAGCUGAUCUAUGUAGCCCCUAAGAUAUGGCAGAAAUGAGAGGGUGACUCUCAAGGCUGGGUCACCAAAGACACCAUGACUUUGCCUUGCUCUUUUGUGCCAUUCCGUCUGGAGAAGCCAGCCGCCAUGUUGUGAGGACACUCAAGCAGCCCUGUGGAGAUGCCCCCUGAUGAGGCACUGAGGCCUCCUGCUCACAGCCCACAAGUGAGACAUCCUGGAAGCAGAUCCUCCAGCCCUGGUCAAGCCUUCAAUGACUACAACUCCCAUUGACCACUGGCUACAAGUUCACAAGAGGCCCUGAGCCAGGACCACCCAACAAAGCAGCUCCGACUUCUUGAUUGUAAAUAUUUGUUGUUCCAGGCCACUAAGUUUGGGCUACUCCUCUCCACUGUUACAGCUGGUGUCUGUUCCGCUUGGCAGGUGCCCAUGCUUUGGUCGUUUUUAGGUAUCAGCCCACAGAGAGGAGGUAGAAGCAGGAGUGGAGGAGAGCCAGCAGUGGAGCCAGCACCUUGGGAGGGCUGAGUCACUCAUGCCAAGAGGAGGAGGACAGAGGAAAGAUCUGCAACCCAGCUUGGCUGCUCCUGCAUCCAGGUUGUUCUCCUGAGUUUCCAAGGCGGUGUCCUUACUGUAAAUGUCCCAGCCCGUGAGCUGAUGGGGCGACCUCUCUUCCCAGUUCCACUCAGAGCAGUUCCUGACCUGAGGCUGGGGGUUUGGGCUGUGUCCCUGGUUUCCUCUCUGAGGGCUGGGCAGAGAGCUCAGCUCAGAUGUGGGCACUGGGUAUCGGCCGGCGGCAGGAGCUGCCUUCCCUCCACAUACUCACUGCUCAUCAGUCUCUCCAGCCAUGUGGGCUCAAGGCUGUGUGAAGGGACCCCACUUCUGAAUCUCUUCCCAUUAGGAAGGGCUAGAUUAUACAGAUUCAGAUUCUAAGCUCUGCUCCUUCUUUUUAUGUUCUGGCUGUGCCUGAGAGUUUACUGGGGUUGAUUUCAAGGACAUUUUAAUGGCAUUUAGGAGUAGGUGGUGCUGGAAUUUCAGCUUACUCUAAAUAAUUUUCUGAAAAUCUGACUCAUAGCAUUCCCCCCACCUUUGGCCUUAAUUUAAAGAAUACUAGCAACAAGAUUAUCCUGGAAUUAUAGCCAGUAUUCAUAAUAAUUUUUAAUGGAGUGUAAUCUGUAAAAGUACUGAAUUACUACAUUAAACACCUGAAAAUAAUAUUUUUAUUUUUUAUUUGAUUUUAGUCUUUUGUCUUUUUAGGGCUGUACCUGUGGCAUAUGGAAGUUCCCAGGCUAGGGGUCAAGUUGAAGCUGUAGCUGCUGGUCUACACCACAGCCACAGCAACGCCAGAUCCUUAACCCACUGAGGCCAGGGAUCAAACCCACAACCUCA
rnacentral:lncRNA from 1 species